CUAGCCGUAAACGAUGGACACUAGGUGUUGGUGGUAUCAACCCCACCAGUGCCGAAGCUAACGCAUUAAGUGUCCCGCCUGGGGAGUACGGCCGCAAGGCUAAAACUCAAAGGAAUUGACGGGGCCCCGCACAAGCAGCGGAGCGUGGGGUUUAAUUCGAUGCAACGCGAAGAACCUUACCAGGGCUUGACAUGACCAGGAAUCCGGCGGAAACGUCGGCGCCCCGCAAGGGGCCUGGCCACAGGUGU
rnacentral:rRNA from 1 species